rnacentral:rRNA from 1 species
AUUGAAUGCUGGCGGCAUGCUUAACACAUGCAAGUCGAACGGCAGCGCGAGUAAGCUUGCUUACUUGGCGGCGAGUGGCGGACGGGUGCAAAAUACGUAGGAAUCUGCCCUAGAGUGGGGGAUAACCUGGGGAAACUCAGGCUAAUACCGCAUAAUCUCUAUGGAGCAAAGAGGGGGACCUUCGGGCCUCUCGCUCUAGGAUGAGCCUACGUCGGAUUAGCUAGUUGGUGGGGUAAAUGCCUACCAAGGCUACGAUCCGUAGCUGGUCUGAGAGGACGACCAGCCACACUGGGACUGAGAUACGGCCCAGACUCCUACGGGAGGCAGCAGUGGGGAAUAUUGGACAAUGGGCGCAAGCCUGAUCCAGCAAUGCCGCGUGUGUGAAGAAGGCCUUCGGGUUGUAAAGCACUUUUAGUAGGGAAGAAUGACUUAAGUUUAAUAAACUUAAGUAGUGACGUUACUUACAGAAAAAGCACCGGCUAACUCUGUGCCAGCAGCCGCGGUAAUACAGAGGGUGCAAGCGUUAAUCGGAAUUACUGGGCGUAAAGCGUGCGUAGGCGGAUUUUUAAGUCGGAUGUGAAAUACCCGGGCUCAACCUGGGAACUGCAUUCGAUACUGAAUUUCUAGAGUAUGGUAGAGGAAAGUGGAAUUCCCGGUGUAGCGGGAAAUGCGUAGAUAUCGGGAGGAACACCAGUGGCGAAGGCGGCUUUCUGGACCAAUACUGACGCUGAGGUACGAAAGCGUGGGGAGCAAACAGGAUUAGAGACCCUGGUAGUCCACGCUGUAAACGAUGAGAACUGGGCGUCGGGGAGCAUUGUCUCCUUGGUGCCGAAGCUAACGCGUUAAGUUCUCCGCCUGGGGAGUACGGCCGCAAGGCUAAAACUCAAAGGAAUUGACGGGGGCCCGCACAAGCGGUGGAGCAUGUGGUUUAAUUCGAUGCAACGCGAAAAACCUUACCUACCCUUGACAUUUUUGGAAUCCUUUAGAGAUAGAGGA